GAAGACGAAACCGACCUUGCUGAACUCGAGGCAAGGAACCCAUUUGGAGCGGAUGAGAUACUCGAUCUGCUUCAGGAGGGACUCCACGGUGAGAGGUGGCAGGUAGGAAAGGGUCUCGAACUUCUUGAUGCCCUCAAUUGGCCACACCUGCAAUUAGAUUAAAAUUAGCACACAAAGUGUGAUUUGAGACACAUAUCGAUGGAGUAUUUCACUUCACACAUAUCGGUAUGAUGAUAUACAUACCUGCAUGCUCGUGAUCCUGCCACCGUUGGAGACGCUGCCGAGGCCAGCGCCGGCAGAGCGGCGGCUGACGGGGAGCCCGGCGGUGGACUUGAGGCCCCGGAAAGGAGCAACAGCGGUAGCCGCCGCCGACAUCACUGUCGGACCCAUAGCAUCCACCCUUGUAUCACUAGAGUAUAUCUACUUAGCUAAUAUGCUAAGUUUGGCACGGAGAGAGGAGGUCGAGUGGACUUCAUUCCUGGUCACAAGGGUUUAUAUAUACCAUAUAACAUACGAGCAAUUUGUGAUUAAUUUGUUGUCGUUCUAGGAGAUGUGGAAAGGGUGGAUGCCGUUCGUUGGUUGCCUUAUCCGUUCUAGAGAAGGGAUGGAUGACCGACGCUCGCUCAGCCGUCUCCUUCGUCCAUCGUUGCCAAUCUUUCUAGCUAUAAUUGGAAGUUCCAAAGGAACAUACGGUUUCAUGCCUACUUCCAUCGGCCUAUCAUGUACCAAUCCAAUAAAAGGACAUCGUUCAACCAUCAAUCCAUGUGUGUGUAGUAAGUGAUUGGCUACGAACCUUCAGCUGACUUGCUUUAUUGGAUAUUUCUGUAAAGCGAGUCCACGGUGUGUGGGUUUAAAAUCUCGUGGCGGCAACUGUUGACGGGUGCAAAUAUCAGUAGCCUUAAAACAAUAAACUUUACUCCGUCCCUUCCGAAAUGCAAGAAUGUCCUAAGUCAAACUUCUUAUGCUGCAGGACCAUAGUUUUUGAGGUGUUCUUCUCACGAGUCCACGAAGAACGGGAAUUUUUUGGUGUCGGGUAAGGGCGGGGGAAUAUAUAGAUGCUAGCAUCAGCAUGACGGGCUAACGGGUCAGGUAGGAUUUUGGACGACGUAGCACCUGACAUGUGGGGGCCACAUGUAAGAAAACCUGUCAAAAUGUCAUAACCCUCUGUUUUGGUCAACUUGAUACAAUCUGAUACAAAACGUGUGGUUUUCCUGACAAAUUAGCAAAUUUUGUGUCUCUGUGAGAAGCACGCCCCAAAAACUGUGGUUCCGUGAAAUUUAUUCACUAGUUACACUUUAUCUACAAACAUCUACGAUUCUAAAAUAGUUUGGUAUAUAUUUUCCGUAAUAUAAUUAUUUGAUAUUCUAAAUUCGGGGAUUUGUUCUUAUAAACUUGGUCGAAGUUUAAAAAGUUUGACUUCGGACAAAGUUACGACUUUUUACAUUUAGGAAUGAAGGGAAUACAUUUUAGUAAAGCAAUUGAGGAAUUGACAGAAUUAAAUAUCUUAAAUUAUACUGGUCCAUCGUGUACUCAUGGCAACAAAAUAAAUUUAUAGUCGAAAAGUUGGACCAUGAAAACUUAAAACGUGAUACAUUAAAAUUGUUGAAUCACUCUACAUCUUGUAAUUUUCUCUUGCAACCUUCUGGCGCGCUACUCAUUCCACAUUUGGUACUAUAUGUAUAAAUGUAUAUAUAUACCGCAUUAGGAGCCUCUAUUACUGUUUUAGUAUAAAUAGCAGUUUCCAUCGACUAUGCACUUCAUUAACUUUUUCUUCACGAGAUAACUUGCUUAUCGAUUUUCUUUAAUUAUCCAGAUGGCUUCUACUAGUUUGUUUCCUUGCUUACUGGGAUUUCCGCAGACUUUACGGUUAGGUAUUAUUGUCGUGUGGACAACACGGUGGCCGGAUGUUGAGAUGAUGAUGUCCUUUAUCUCCGUGUUGCUUCUGAGGACUGCGGAUCCGAGGCUAGUGGCGGUAUGGGAUGCCUCUCUACCUCUUGAUCAGGUCAAUCCGGCUCAGCAAGAGGCGGAUCGAUGGUGGCCGGUGUGACUAGAAGCGGGGAGGUAUAUAUGAAACGUUUCUUGCUUCCAGCAUCUCUUCUAGCGGUAUAUAUGUCGUCAGCUGGUUGAGGGAUUGAUGGCAAUCGAUCAUGGCUACGAUGACAUGUAUACGCGCCGGUAGGAACACAUAUCAGGCAAUGUCGAUGCACCUGCAUUGGGCCCUUGCUGAAGGUGGUGGUGCGUAUGGCAGUCUAAAGAUUUAAGACACAAAUUUAGACUUAAAACUUAAAUAAUCAAUUUGUGCCAGCGGGAAACACACAAACACGUACCGGUAAAUUAUCAUAAUCAGAAUUUGUCGACGAAUUUGAUAUUCUUUUACAAAAUAUACUUAUCUUAAUAUGUAUAACCGGAGUUUAUAUUACAUGCCCCUCUCCCAACGAUAGUUGUAGUACUCUUAUAAUAGUAGUACUCAUGAAUACAGUUAAUCCGGGUUGUUGGGAGAGAUCACAUGCAUAAAUACAACAUGAAACAAACGUGUGAAAAAGGUACAUAAAAUCGGUGUGACCCGUUCUUGUAUUAUAAGAAAUCAACUUGCUUAGGCCUUGCCGGACUCCUCACAACCCGGUGGCUUGAAGGCGAUGAAGCUGAUGCACUGCACUUGCCUGGUGUUGUCGAAGCCGAUGAUGCGGACAUAGGCGUCAGGGUACUCCUUCUUCACCUCCUCCAGCUCCUUUAGCACCUGCGUGGCGUCGGUGCACCCGAACAUGGGAAGCUUCCACAUUGUCCAGUACCUGCCGUCGUAGUACCCGGGAGAGUUGCCGUGCUCACGGAAGACGAAACCGACCUUGCUGAACUCGAGGCAAGGAACCCACUUGGAGCGGAUGAGAUACUCGAUCUGCUUCAAGAGGGACUCCACGGUGAGAGGCGGCAGGUAGGAAAGGGUUUCGAACUUCUUGAUGCCCUCAAUUGGCCACACCUACAAUUAGAUUAAUAAUUAGCACCGAAAGUAUAAUUUGAGACACAUAUCAGUAUUUCACUUCAACAUAUGUACAUGAUGACAUACAUACCUGCAUGCACCUGAUCCUUCCACCGUUGGAGACGCUGCCGAGACCAGCGCUGGCUGAGCGGCGGCCGAUGGGGAGCCCGGCGGUGGACUUGAGGCCCUGGAAAG
rnacentral:lncRNA from 1 species